UCUUGCGAUACCUCAUAAAACCUGGAAGAUUUUUCUCUAUCGGUAACAGCGUGGCAUUAAAUUUAACUUCAGUUGGCUACCGGACCAAUUACAUCGGCAAUUGAGUACCAUUUCUAUUUCCGAUAUUACAUUUUUAGCGUCGUUUUUCGUUUCACGUUUCCGGUUUUGAUUCCGGUCUUCAUUAGCAGCCAUCUUUGCUUUCGGUCACUUGUGAAUAGCGUGCAACAUUAGCUUUUGUCGUGUAUUUACUGUUCGUGAUAAUCUACAGUUUAUCCAUCCAGAUUCAUCGAAGCAAUUACUUUCUUGAUGCACAAUAGUGAAUUGCUAAAAUAAAAUUAAAUCUAGUGACAAAAAUAUACGUGGACUUAACAAAUGAAGACACUUUUCUUACUGGUGACAGUAAUACUGUUGUGCCAUGGGCAGGAAAUUUUACCUACCACAUAUGUAAAAAUUUGUACCGGACAAGAAUUAAAAGAAAUAAUCACGGCCAUGUGCUCUGUCAUGAAAAGAAACGUGCACCCUUUACGUAUAAGGCAAUAUACAACAGAUGACAUUAUAGAAGUAUGCUGCUUACAACCUUGUCAGGCUUCUCUAUUUAUAGGCCUCUGCGCUUGAAGUUUCUUUACGAAAUAUAUAUGAACAACUAACGCCACUUAAUAAUUGAGUUUAUAGUAUCUUUGCUGGCAUUAUCUGUAACUAAUAAUAUUUUUUCAUGAAUCAUUCUUCCAUUUUUCAUAAACUUCACAUUUGAAGAAAAUAAAA